rnacentral:lncRNA from 1 species
AAUAUAUAUAAUUUUAGGGACCUUUUUAAGAAAAAGAAUACAAAUUUACAAGUCACAAAAUUGCUAGGGCCUUCCCAAAGUUUGGGGAAGGGCCAGCGCAAGUGCCGCAACCUGAAUUUUAAGCUUCAGCAGGUUCAGAGCAGACCUGCUUCUGAGACCAGUAGCUGUGAUUUACUGUGUCAGUUUGCACCAGAGACUUUUCAUCUAUGGCUCUCUUUACAACAAACAAGCAAGGAUGGGUUAUCCCAAUCUUACAAAGGAGGAACCCCUGGUUCAAAAGUGUUUGUUACUUAUGCGGAAGUCACGUAUGUGGAAGUCACAUAUGUGGAACUAGAAUUUGAUCUAGUCCUGACUGGUUUCUGGACCCAGACUCUUUCCAUCACACCAGCAGAUCUCAAUAUCUACAGAGGUUGUGUAUGCCCUGGGGCCUGGGAUCAUCCUAAGAGGGACAAUUUCACAGUCUGUAGCCUCCUGAAGCCUCAACGCCCUCAAACCAAGAGGUCAGCUGGUCUGGCUUUCCUGACUUCCCAGAUGCUAUCAUCCAGAUUCCCUUCCUCCUGAAGGAAAAUCCCUGAAGACCCUUGCUAAGUCCCAACCCCCACUCCAGGCUCCUCUCUCUCAUUGGGUCUGCCUCUCAUUUACUCCAGAUAGAUUUAUAACUUAUGCAAAUACAUGUAGAUGAUUAGGCAAAUGAUUAUGCAAAUGACGCCUUUCCUUUUCUCCAUCCCAAUUCUGGUAACACUGGGAGAAAGGAACAAUAGUGAUUAAGUCCUGACAUUCGAGACAAACAUGGAUAAACCCUGAGGGCAUUAUGCUAAAUGAAAUAAGUCAGACACAGAAAGACAAAUACUGCAUGAUUUCACUUAUACAUGUGGAAUUUUUUUAAAAAACCAAACGCACAGAAACAGAGAGUAGAUUGAUUGGUGGUUGUCAGGGGCUGGAGGGCAAAGGUGAUCAAGGUUACAAACUUCCAGUUACAAGCUGAAUAGCUUCUGGGGAUCUAAUGUACCGCAAGGUGACUAUAGUUAACAAUACUGUACUGUAUAUUUGAAAGUUGCUAAGAGAGUGGAUCUUAGAUGUUCUCACCACACAUGAACCAAAGGUAAUUAGGUGAAGCGAUGGAUGUUAACUAACAUUAUUGUGGCAAUAAUUUGUAAUGUAUGCAUAUAUCAGAUUAUCAUGUUGUAAGCUUGUAUGAUGUUAUAUGUCAGUUAUUAUCUCAAUAAAGCUGGGGAAAAAAAGGAUUGAAAGAUGGGA